ACACUGCAGCUUGACAAAUGCUGAUGCCACCACUGCUGAAACUCCACUCCUCAAAUGACAGAGGAACCUUCCAGCAAGCCUCACACCUGCCUUCAGAAGGAGCAAGCGCAUCAUGAUGCUGAGCUCCCCUCUGACCACAGACACAGCUCUAAGGACACAGCCACCUACCUGCUGAAGGGGGUGAGACCAGGGCAAGGAGCAACUUCUCCUAAAAUAAGCACUCGCUCUCUGUCUUACCCAUAAGCAGCUCCACUGCCCCUGCCUGGCCCGAUGAGGUUCUGUGUCCUGGCCAUCUGCCCAAGCCUCGGCACACAGUGGUCACAGUUUAAGGAAUCAGUUUGGACCCUGCCUGCCAGUUCCUGCCUUCCUCAGCCCCUGCCAGCCGGAGCUAUGAGAUGCCAUCCUUCAGUCAACCUUGAGUGAGCAGUGUGUCUCCCAGUUCAAUGGGCAAACACCCCCCCUGGGGAUCAGGCCAACAUGGAUAUUCUGAUUCAUUAGGUCUGAGGUGGGAUCAGAUAUCUGUGUUUCCAAGUGAUGUGAAUAGCUCAUGAACUUCACUUUGAGGAGUAAGAAUGAGAAUGUAUGGACUAGCAA